GAUAGAUAUAAAAAAUGAAUUUUCCAUAUCAUUUUAUUUUCUUAUUAUAAUUAUUUUAUUUUCACAUAUAUUUUCUCAUUAUUAUCGCUAUUUUAAUUUUUAUGUUUAAUUUUAUUUUUUACGUAUCGCUAUAAUAUUAUUUUGUAAUGAUCAGCUGUUUAUCAUCGAAGAAUUGUCACUCGUCAUAGUACAGGAAUAGUCGUCAUGUAUACAAGAUUUUCUCGUCGAUUUUCUCGAGUAUUCGUGGAUUUUUGCAGAAAUCCAUCGGUAGAUCCGAAUUAUCAGCGAUUUGUGAAAAUCUUAUCUGAUUGUCCUAAUCUAACGCGAAGUUUAUAUUUAUCGAAUUCAUUUUAUCGAAAAGUGAACACCGUGAUCCAUUGCGAAAACGAAAUGCCACUCAAUGUUAAUUACGAGCAGCUUCUGGAAGCGCAAAAGGACAAUAGCAUUCUUAUCGUUGAUGUUCGAGAGCCUGUGGAGAUAAAAGAGACUGGAAAAUUACCCGGAAGCAUUCAUAUACCAAUGAAUGAUGUUCAAAAUAUAUUCUUAAAUCUUUCGGAAGAGGAAUUUGAGAAACGCUAUGGCAAACAAAAACCUGGUAAAGACACAAAAAUCAUAUUCAGUUGCCGGUCUGGUAAAAGAAGCAAGACAGUGCAGGAAAUGAUACAGAAAUUAGGAUAUACAAAGGUGUAUAAUUAUACCGGAGGUUGGCAGGAGUGGGAAAGCAAGCAGAAAAAAAAAUAAAUAAAAAUAGUGAAGAACUGUAAUUACAGAUGUAUUAAAAAAUUAUUUUCACCAUUGGAGUUAUUUAUAUUAAUAAUAAAAGGUAAUAUUGAUGUGAAGUUGACAUCGUCAAAUACAUGUCUAAUGAAGAAUACGUACUGUUCGAUAUGAAUAGG